rnacentral:lncRNA from 1 species
GGCAUUCUUUUGAGCUCGGGCUAAGAGGUUGGUUUAAUCUUUCAAGAAGUUCUCAUUGGGGGAGAAAACUAGGUGCUCAUCUUCAAGUCCUAGCUGCUCUAUCACCAUGGCGAUGGACUCAUCAUGGUUUGGGACCUCAAGUGCGGCAUUGUUAAAAUACACAACGUGGUCUCUUGACGGCUCGCCUUCUCUCUAUCAUAUAGAGGGGAGGGGCCAUCAUCAAUCUUUGGUUGCGAUCUCUGACAGAUAAAGCGUGUGACAUCAAUGGCUUCGUCGGAGCUUCGGUAACUCCCAUCAUGCUGUAUAGGUCAGUCACUUCACGGGCAUUGACU